rnacentral:rRNA from 1 species
UGAGAGCGUACACAGGUGCUGCAUGGCUGUCGUCAGCUCGUGUCGUGAGAUGUUGGGUUAAGUCCCGCAACGAGCGCAACCCUGCAUUCAGUUGCCAUCGGUAAGGCCGGGCACUCUGGAUGGACUGCCGGCGACAAGCCGGAGGAAGGUGGGGACGACGUCAAGUCAUCAUGGCCCUUAUGUCCAGGGCGACACACGUGCUACAAUGGCCGGCACAACGGGAAGCGAAGGGGCGACCCUGAGCGGAUCCCACAAAAGCCGGUCCCAGUUCGGAUUGCAGUCUGCAACUCGACUGCAUGAAGUUGGAAUCGCUAGUAAUCGUGGAUCAGCCAAGCCGCGGUGAAUACGUUCCCGGGCCUU